GUCGGCCACCCUGCGAGUACGCGGUUCCCACCCGGCCGCGCGGCAGCCCGUGCCUGCGCACUGCUCUGUGCCCGCGCCUAUGUCCAGCAGGGGGCGCGCAGCGGCGGUAGCCGAGCGAGGGCGCGGUGGCCUCUGACAGGAAUGACUCUGCGCACGUGGGUUUCACAGCAGUGGAAGUCUUCACACCCGGAAACUCGACUUUGGCCGUUUCUCCAUUUCUCCUUACGCACUGUCUUUCCUUGGGCCCUCGUCACUCCUGGCACCGAGGGAAGGGCUUCCCCGCCUCUGGCAGGGCGCUGGGGCGCGACCGAAGGCAAGGCGGCGGCGAGGAACCUUCUGGAAUUCGGCCGUCGGGGCAGGCGUCGAAUUUACAGGAGAAGGCGCGGUGUCCCGGGAUGAGCGGAGUCGCCCUCAGUUAAGGAGCGAGGAAGGCCUCGGGGGUCCCCAGCCGGUGAUGAGCCCUCCUCUUCAGCUAGGAAAAUGACGGGGUUCAGAAAGUUAAAACUUCUUCUCUGGAAGGAUUUCAUCUUAAAGUUGUUUUAGGCUAUUCUUCAGUGUCUUUGUUUGAACGUUAUAUAAUUGAUGAUCCCAAAGCUUUCUACUUAUUGGCAGGAAUUGUUUUUGACCACAGCGUCAAUGACAGCAAUGGAUCUUUGCCACUUGCGGUUAAGUAUCAAUUGCGCUUCAGUUACUUUCAGAAGAAUUUUAUACCGGGGAAGAAUAUAUUUUUUCAAGAUGACAUAGAAGGCUGGUGGACAUCCUUUCUUUACCCUCCCAAUCCACGCCAAGAACCCCGGGAAUUUCCAUUUGCUGAUGGGGGAAGUCCUGGAUACAACAAAGAAGGCUUCCUGGCCAUACAGUAUGCUGUGGAUAAAGCCAUCAUGUGGUACCAUGCUCACAAUGCAAUGACCAACAUGUUUGAGAAUCUCAAUGUACUUGUGAAGAGAUUCCCAUAUGGACCCUAUAUCGAGGACAGGUUCUUCCUAGUCCUUCAGAAUGAGUUUUCUGUGUUCUUCAUACUCAGCUUCAUGUGCAUUGAGCUCGUCAUCAUCAGUUCCAUUGUACUGGAGAAAGAGAAAAGACUGAAGACACUGGGUUGCUUGGUUCAUCACGUUCUUCAUUUCUGUCUUCAUUGCUGUUUCUUUCAUUGACCAUUCUCUUCUGCACAGAGGUCUUAUUCCCCCUACAAGUGGAUGUGCAUAUGUCAAUGGAUAUGAAAUUUCACAAGAGAUGUUUCACAUUAGGAAGAGCCUGGGCUGGUGCCCCCAACAUGAUGUCUUAUCUGAUAAGUUAACAGUAGCAGAACAUCUUUCUUUCUAUGGUCAGCUGAAGGGCCUGUCACGUCAGAAGUGCCCUGAAGUCAAGCAGGUGCUGCACAUCAUCAGCCUGGAGGACAAGUGGAACUCAGGGAGCCGCUUCCUGAGCGGGGGCAUGAGGCGCAAGCUCUCCAUCGGCAUCGCCCUCAUCGCAGGCUCCAAGGUUUGAAUCUCUAUUUACUGACUUGGAACUGAGGCAGGUAGAGCUGGGCAUCUCCAGCUUUGGGGCCUCUGUCAUGACCAUAGAGGAUGUCUUCAUAAGAGUUUGUAUGUUGGCAGAUGCCAGUACAGCUGUCCCAAACAUCAAACAUCCCUCUAUCCAUCCCCAGCCCUGCUUAGCAGAAUUCCUGUUGACAGAAUUAAACAUCUUCAUUCGAGGGCCUUCUCAAUAUGGACUGGGCUGCCAAUCAAACCAAACACUGGGUUCAGUCUUCUCUGCCAACAAUUUUAUGCCAUGCUCCUGAAAAAGGUCACAUAUUCUUAACACAACUGGAUGUUGAUGUUAUCAAUACAGAUCCUGGUCCCUCUGGUGAUCAUCAUGUUAAGCCUCACGUUCUUCAAUUUCAAAGAAAGAAGCAUAGAAAAUGUCCCAUUGGAGCUGACUCUGAAAACAUAUGGUCAGACCAUUGUUCCUUUCUUUAUUUCUCAGAAUUCCAGGCUGGAUCCUCAACUUUCAGAAUGCUUUGCAAAUAUGCUUAUGGUUGAGGGACAGAUUCCUCUGGAGGUCCUAGGUUCUGUAGAUGAGUUCCUAUUGAAAAAGGCAAAAGAGGAGCCUGAGGACUUUGAUAAGCUCUACUUAGUGGCAGCUUCCUUUGAAGACGUGGGAAAUCACACCAUAGUGACAGCGCUGUUCAACAACCAGGCAUACCAUUCUUCUGCCCUGGCUCUGGCGCUAUUGGACAAUUUUCUCUUGAAGUUGCUUUCUGGUGCCAGGGCUUCCAUUACCGUAGCCAACCACCCUCAACCUCAGUCAGCCAUGGAGGAUUCAGAGAAUUUCCUGUAUCAGGAACCUAAAGGACAUUACCUUGUUAUCAACUUGCUUUUUGGAUUAGCUUUCCUGUCUAGCUCUUUUUCCAUGUUGACAGUCAGAGAGAGGCGCGUUAAGGCCAAGCUUGUCCAGUUUAUCAAUGGAGUUUAUGUGGCCACUUUCUGGCUCUCCACUCUGCUAUGGGACCUCAUCUCCUUCCUCAUCCCCAGUCUGCUGCUGGUGGUAUGGUGGUGGAUUGGUUACUGUCCUCAGUUUGAUGCUCUGCUGAACUUCAUGACAGGCCAUGAGAUGCUGGUCAUGUAUGCCCAGAGCGGGGGCAUCCCAGAGCACCCCAUCAGUGCUAGUGUGGACCAGAUUCUUGAGGAUUUAGUCAUGUACAUGUACGCCGACAAGCUGGUCAAGACCUACAGCAUGGAGGAGUGUGAGGCCCUGUGCAGCCGGCUGGCCAUCAUGGUGCAGGGGCAGUUCAAGUGCCUGGGCAGCCCCCAGCACCUCAAGAGCAAGUUCGGCAGUGGCUACUCCCUGCAGGCCAAGGUGCAGAGUGAAGGGCAGCAGGAGGUGCUGGAGGAGUUCAAGGCCUUCGUGGACCUGACCUUUCCAGGCAGCGUUCUUGAAGACAAGCACCAAGGCAUGGUCCAUUACCACCUGCUGGGCUGCAACCUCAGCUGGGCGAAGUUGAGCGCACAUUUUUGACGUGACCCACUUUCUGGGGUGUUUGGCACUCUGGAGCAAGCCAAGAAGUACAUGCUGGACAACUACUCAGCAGUCAGGUCACCAUGGAGGACGUCUUCCUGAGCUUCGCCUGCCCUGUGCCCCUAGUCCAAAGUGAAGACCAACGAGAGCAAGCAGAGCAGGUGGGCUCCUCAUCGUGCUCGCUGCCUCCUUCCCUGCCUCCCUCUCGGCUUUCCUCUCAGUCUCCCUCCCUGCCUCCCUCUCAGCUUUUCUCUCUGCCUCCCUCCCUGCCUCCUCCCUCAGAGCCUGUCCUGCUGUAAUAAGGACAGACCAGUGCCAGGUUGGCCCAGGUGUGCAUGGCCUUCCCUGGGUUUCCAGGGCUUACAGAGGCAGCUCUUGGCCUAGCUAGCUCAGCACAGGGCUGUCCCCCUAACUGCAGUGCAUGGAGCAGAGUGGGGCCCACUGGAGAACUUAAGAGGCCCGCUGGAGAACCCAGGUGCGUUUCCUUAGAAAGGGAUGCCCAAGUCCCACCUGAGUAGCCUGUGGUCUUAUUGAGACCUGGCUGUGGAAGCAGCCUCAGAACAUCUUGCAUGUCCUUUCCAAGGGCGGUGGCCAGGGGGUGACUACAGUACUAACCAUGACCCGACCAGGUGCCAACUCUGUGGUUGGUCCCCUGCAGGCAUUGCGUCAUUUGAUCACACCACCCUCAGGCCCGGCCUUAAGGGGUCUGUCCUGGUCAUCCCCUUGCUCAUGCGCAAGAAGUCUGCAGGGCAGAGGGAAAUGCUCACCCAAAGCUUGCGCUCUUCCUUCUCUAGAAUCCCCUGCCCAGAUGGUUUGUCCAUCCAGUGCACUCCCUCCCAAGGCAGGCCAUGCCGCCCAACGCACCCUGAGAUGCGAGAUGCAGCAAAGCAGUGGCUCUGCAGAACUUCGGGUAGAGUUUGGAUGGGUGCGUGGAGGUUUCCACACAUGUGUGCAGAUCCCUUGGAAAGCAGGAUAGAGCCAGAAACAGAGAGGAGGGUGCCCGUAGGCCGGUGGGGGCUGGCUCCCAUGGUCACAUGCAAGAGUGAAGCUUCAUGGAGACCAUGAUUCGAAACUCACACCUGGCCUCACAGGUGGUCAUGUCACUGUUCUUCUGAAGGAAGGAGGAAAUAAAUAUUGACAAGUUUGCUAGCCUAAGUCG
rnacentral:sRNA from 1 species